GGCUCGAUAUCGAGACAGUUGUUAAAGGAGUAAUCCGCCUAAAGAGCAGCCUGCGGCAGAUUAGCUAGUUGGUAAGGUAAAUGGCUUUACCCAAAGGCUACGAUCUGUAACCGACCUGAGAGGGUGGUCGGUCACACUGACACUGAAUAACGGGUCAGACUCCUACGGAGGCAGCAGUCGGGAAUUUUGGGCAAUGGGCGAAAGCCUGACCCAGCAACGCCGCGUGAAGGAUGAAGUCUCUCGGGAUGUAAACUUCGUAAGAAUAGGAAGAAUAAAUGACGGUACUAUUUGUAAGGUCCGGCUAACUACGUG
rnacentral:rRNA from 1 species